GCCCUCGUAGCUCAAUGGAUAGAGCGCUACUUUGCCGAAGGAAGAGGUUGCAGGUUCAAAUCCUGUCGGGGGCACCA
rnacentral:tRNA from 1 species